GGUGAGCGGGAAGGGCAUUCCCACUGGAGUGGCGGGAUGGAUGUGGGGACAUCCCCCCCACCACAGUCCCCAGAGUGACAAUGCCACCUCACAGGGAUCGUCUGACGCACA